GCACAAGCGGUGGAUGAUGUGGAUUAAUUCGAUGCAACGCGAAAACCUUACCUACCUUGACAUGUCCGGAAUCCUGCAGAGAUGCGGGGUGCCCGAAAGGGAAUCGGAACACAGGUGCUGCAUGGCUGUCGUCAGCUCGUGUCGUGAGAUGUUGGGUUAAGUCCCGCAACGAGCGCAACCCUUAUCAUUAGUUGCUACGCAAGGGCACUCUAAUGAGACUGCCGGUGACAAACCGGAGGAAGGUGGGGAUGACGUCAAGUCCUCAUGGCCCUUAUAGGUGGGGCUACACACGUCAUACAAUGGAUGGUACAAAGGGUCGCCAACCCGCGAGGGGGAGCCAAUCCCAUAAAGCCAUUCGUAGUCCGGAUCGCAGUCUGCAACUCGACUGCGUGAAGUCGGAAUCGCUAGUAAUCGUGGAUCAGAAUGUCACGGUGAAUACGUUCCCGGGUCUU
rnacentral:rRNA from 1 species